GGGCUUGACAUCCCACGAACCUGCCCGAAAGGGUCGGGUGCCCGCAAGGGAGCGUGGAGACAGGUGGUGCAUGGCUGUCGUCAGCUCGUGUCGUGAGAUGUUGGGUUAAGUCCCGCAACGAGCGCAACCCUCACCCCUUGUUGCCACCGGGUCAUGCCGAGCACUCUAGGGGAACUGCCAGCGUCAAGCUGGAGGAAGGCGGGGAUGACGUCAAGUCAUCAUGCCCCUUACGCCCUGGGCAACACACGUGCUACAAUGGUUGGUACAAAGGGAUGCAAGACCGCGAGGUGGAGCUAAUCCCAAAAAACCAGUCUAAGUUCAGAUUGCAGUCAGCAACUCGACUGCAUGAAGGAGGAAUCGCUAGUAAUCGCGCAUCAGCACGGCGCGGUGAAUACGUUCCCGGGCCUUGUACAUACCGCCCGUCACACCACGAAAGCCGGCUGUACUCGAAGUCGCUGAG
rnacentral:rRNA from 1 species